rnacentral:rRNA from 1 species
AACGAACGCUGGCGGCAUGCCUAACACAUGCAAGUCGAACGAGAUCUUCAGGUCUAGUGGCGCACGGGUGCGUAACGCGCGGGAAUCUGCCCUUUGGUUCGGAAUAACAGUUGGAAACGACUGCUAAUACCGGAUGAUGACGAAAGUCCAAAGAUUUAUCGCCAGAGGAUGAGCCCGCGUAGGAUUAGCUAGUUGGUGUGGUAAAGGCGCACCAAGGCGACGAUCCUUAGCUGGUCUGAGAGGAUGAUCAGCCACACUGGGACUGAGACACGGCCCAGACUCCUACGGGAGGCAGCAGUGGGGAAUAUUGGACAAUGGGCGAAAGCCUGAUCCAGCAAUGCCGCGUGAGUGAUGAAGGCCUUAGGGUUGUAAAGCUCUUUUACCCGGGAUGAUAAUGACAGUACCGGGAGAAUAAGCUCCGGCUAACUCCGUGCCAGCCGCCGCGGUAA